rnacentral:rRNA from 1 species
GAUGAACGCUGGCGGCGUGCCUAAUACAUGCAAGUCGAGCGAACAGACGAGGAGCUUGCUCCUCUGACGUUAGCGGCGGACGGGUGAGUAACACGUGGAUAACCUACCUAUAAGACUGGGAUAACUUCGGGAAACUGGAGCUAAUACCGGAUAAUAUAUUGAACCGCAUGGUUCAAUAGUGAAAGACGGUUUUGCUGUCCCUUAUAGAUGGAUCCGCGCCGCAUUAGCUAGUUGGUAAGGUAACGGCUUACCAAGGCAACGAUGCGUAGCCGACCUGAGAGGGUGAUCGGCCACACUGGAACUGAGACACGGCCCAGACUCCUACGGGAGGCAGCAGUAGGGAAUCUUCCGCAAUGGGCGAAAGCCUGACGGAGCAACGCCGCGUGAGUGAUGAAGGUCUUCGGAUCGUAAAACUCUGUUAUUAGGGAAGAACAAAUGUGUAAGUAACUAUGCACGUCUUGACGGUACCUAAUCAGAAAGCCACGGCUAACUACGUG